GCUUGUCUCAAAGAUUAAGCCAUGCAUGUCUAAGUAUAAGCACUUAUACUGUGAAACUGCGAAUGGCUCAUUAAAUCAGUUAUAGUUUAUUUGAUAAUACCUUACUACUUGGAUAACCGUGGUAAUUCUAGGGCUAAUACAUGCAUCAAACCCCGACUUCUGGAAGGGGUGUAUUUAUUAGAUGGAAACCAAUGCGGGGCAACCCGGAUUAUGGUGAUUCAUAAUAACUUUCAGAUCGAUCGCAAGAUCGAUGCAUCAUUCAAGUUUCUGCCCUAUCAGCUUUGGAUGGUAGGGUAUUGGCCUACCAUGGCUUUAACGGGUAACGGAGAAUUAGGGUUCGAUUCCGGAGAGGGAGCCUGAGAAACGGCUACCACAUCCAAGGAAGGCAGCAGG
rnacentral:rRNA from 1 species